CCCUCUUUAACUGAUGUUCCCUCAGCCUUGGAAGGAACGCAGAUGUCACAUUUGGGGCUGAGGACUCGACAGUGACUUGCUCUCAGGAUAUUGACCAACAGAUCACAAUAGAAGCUUCCAGGUUGGAACCAACUUUUUUCCAAUCCCUUGCAAGGAUGUGAUUGCCUCCCCAUCAAGCCGGAAACAACGGAGCUGAAUGGCCGAGGACUGAGGCUCCAAAAGCAGGAACCAAAAGAAACCCGUGCUCACUUAGGGUGCUCUCUUCAGGUAUUUUGCCAGAGCGACGGAGAGCCUGACAUACUGACACUCUGAGGCAGAGCGCUCAGUGCAAGGAGCUUUCCUCACUUGUGACCAAUGGAAAGUAGGGAAACGUUGACGUGACCACGUGGCAUUGUUAGCACCUUCAUCAUCAUAUAAAUAAACCACAGAGAGCCUUUUCCUACACAAGGAGCAGUGGCAGCUCAGUUAAUGAAGCUUCUUCCGCACAGAAGAGAAAGCUUGUUAGCUACAGUGCGGCUCCAGCCCCAGGAGUCAGUUGUGGUACCCGAUGAUGAAAGACGUGCCUGUCUCUUCCGCCCCACGAGCACUCUGGCCUGGUGUGGUAAUUUAGGAGUGUGGGGGGAGACGGGAAACAAUGGUGCUCUUUUCUUGCGUCUGAUGCUGCCUUGGUUUCCAUUCUGACGCUACUCAUUGGUUCCGAAGACCUGCCGGGCGUGACCUUGGUUUUACCAAGCCGAUCCAGCGGAGUUCUCUACAUCUGAGAACAGCGAGCUUUAACCGCGGCAGGCCUCCCUGGUGUUGAAGCAGAUGGGUCGUUCGGAAAGAAGCCUGUGUGGAGCUAAGCUCUGUGACUUUCUGAUGUGCCAAAUCACCUCCCCACCAUUUUGGAAUUACGCACUGGGAAGUGUUUUCGAAGAUGCCCUUUUAUGUGUUAAUUUUGCAAAAAAUAAAAUAAAUAAAUAAAUCCACAAUUAGAAUUUCAAAUCACCUGAGCAACACAAGAAAAUGAGAAGUUGCAAAUCAAAACUAAGGACUUAAUUAGAAUUUAGCAUUAGGAAGACAAUUAAUUAAUCUGCACAGACUGAAGACAGCCUGUCAUUGCCAGCUCAGGGACACAUUCGCCAGACUAUGAUAUCCUGAAUUGGCUAUUUUCACUCAAUGCUCCUUAAAUAAACAAAAUGGGAAGACUAAAGCAGAGGAAAGCAGGCCUUACUAUCUAUCACGUGACCCCUUCGGGAAGAAAAUGGCUUUUCUUUUUUUUUUUCCCCCUUUUUUUCCCGGAGCUGGGGACCGAACCCAGGGCCUUGUGCUUGCUAGGCAAGCGCUCUACCACUGAGCUAAAUCCCCAACCCCUGAAAAUGGCUUUUCUUAAAAGGUUUGUUAGACUAUGUACUGAAGUCAUCUUUAAAUCUCAGAACUUCCCCCAAAACUAUUGUCCAAUCUUCACAGUAAUAAAUGCGUGAAAUGUUUCAAUUUUCC